rnacentral:rRNA from 1 species
AACGAACGCUGGCGGCGUGCUUAACACAUGCAAGUCGAACGCGAACGGGUUCUUCGGGACCUUAGUAGAGUGGCGCACGGGUGAGUAACGCGUAAGUUAUCCACCUCGGCAUCUGGAAUAACUCACCGAAAGGUGUGCUAAUACCGGAUACGUUGAGUAAUCAAGAAAGGUGGCCUCUCUUUGAUGCUACCGUGCCGAGAGGAGCUUGCGUACCCUUAGCUAGUUGGUGGGGUAAUGGCCUACCAAGGCGACGAUGGUUAGCGGGUCUGAGAGGAUGAUCCGCCACACUGGAACUGGAACACGGACCAGACUCCCACGGGAGGCAGCAGUGAGGAAUAUUGCGCAAUGGGGGCAACCCUGACGCAGCGACGCCGCGUGGAUGAUGAAGGCCUUCGGGUCGUAAAAUCCUGUCAGGUGGAAAGAAAUGUGUAUGUGCUAAUACCAUGUAUACUUGACGGUACCACCGAAGGAAGCACCGGCUAACUCCGUGCCAGCCGCCGCAGUAA